AAUGCACCAAUUUGUAAGUCGCUCUGGAUAAGAGCGUCUGACAAAUGACUUAAA
rfam:Salmo salar isolate Sally breed double haploid chromosome ssa27, whole genome shotgun sequence.